rnacentral:rRNA from 1 species
UUGCCUACGGGAGGCAGCAGUGGGGAAUAUUGCACAAUGGGGGAAACCCUGAUGCAGCGACGCCGCGUGAGUGAAGAAGUAUUUCGGUAUGUAAAGCUCUAUCAGCAGGGAAGAUAAUGACGGUACCUGACUAAGAAGCUCCGGCUAAAUACGUGGCAGCAGCCGCGGUAAUACGUAUGGAGCAAGCGUUAUCCGGAUUUACUGGGUGUAAAGGGAGCGCAGACGGCAAGGAAAGUCUGAUGGGAAAGUCCGAGGCUCAACCUCGGGACUGCAUUGGAAACUGUCGGGCUAGAGAGAAGGAGAGG